rnacentral:snRNA from 1 species
GGAUGUGAGGGCAGCCUGGCUGCAGCAUCUGUCACCCCAUUGAGAGUCAGAGUUGAUUCGUCUUCUCUGGCUGGCGAGGCUGGUGUCCCCUUUCUCCCUCUCUGCUCCAAGUGCCUGCACACUCCUUCCCUAAUAGAAGAGGGCUGGUCUUCAGUCAAGGGUGUCUGAGUAGCUGUGCUCCCCUGCUGGAACCUCUAAAGAAGCUCUCAAGAACCACAGCGAGCCUAUCACGAAGGACUUUGAGAAUUUGACGAGUUGUUUGUUCAUCUUG